rnacentral:rRNA from 1 species
AAACUAACAAGGAUUCCCCUAGUAACGGCGAGUGAAGCGGGAAGAGCUCAAAUUUGAAAUCUGGUGGCCUCAGGUCAUCCGAGUUGUAAUCUAUAGAAGUGUUUUCCGUGCUGGCUCAUGUACAAGUCCCUUGGAACAGGGCGUCAUAGAGGGUGAGAAUCCCGUCCUUGACAUGAACUACCAGUGCUCUGUGAUACAUUUUCAACGAGUCGAGUUGUUUGGGAAUGCAGCUCAAAAUGGGUGGUAAAUUCCAUCUAAAGCUAAAUAUUGGCGAGAGACCGAUAGCGAACAAGUACCGUGAGGGAAAGAUGAAAAGCACUUUGGAAAGAGAGUUAAACAGUAUGUGAAAUUGUUGAAAGGGAAACGAUUGAAGUCAGUCGUGCUCUUUGGAUUCAGCCGGUUCUGCCGGUGUACUUCCUUUGAGUGGGGUCAACAUCAGUUUUGAUCGCUGGAUAAAGGCAGGAGGAACGUAGUACCCUCGGGUAAACUUAUAGCCUCUUGUCACAUACAGUGGUUGGGACUGAGGAACGCAGCACGCCUUUAUGGCCGGGAUUCGUCCACGUACGUGCUUAGGAUGUUGACAUAAUGGCUUUAAACGAC